UACGUAGGGAGCAAGCGUUGUCCGGAAUCAUUGGGCGUAAAGAGCGCGUAGGCGGUCCGGUAAGUCGGUUGUGAAAACUGGGGGCUCAACCCUCAGAGGCCGACCGAUACUGCCGGGCUAGAGUCCGGAAGAGGCGAGUGGAAUUCCUGGUGUAGCGGUGAAAUGCGCAGAUAUCAGGAGGAACACCAAUGGCGAAGGCAGCUCGCUGGGACGUGACUGACGCUGAGACGCGAAAGCGUGGGGAGCAAACAGG
rnacentral:rRNA from 1 species